GCUGCCGGGAGCACCAGACCUCCCAGAAUGCACCACUCGGGGAGGUUCCAAUGCAUCAGCCCUCUCAUUAAACCUGAAGCUCAGGUGUGGAGGAGCGAGAGCACAAAGGACUGGAGUGACAGCAGAAGUGGCCGGCAUGAGACGUGACAGAAACUAAGUUGGGAAGGAUCCAUGUGAGAAGCAAAACGCUGCCUGAGCUCCGGGGCACUCCGCCAGAGGCAAUCAGCCGGGUGGGAACUUCACAGAGGCGAUGAAACCGGAGUCUUAAGCCUCUCUGCAGCAUCCACCUGAAAUCAUCCCGUCCUGCUGCAGGCCUCGCUGGCUUUCUCUCUGCGUUCCGGCACAGUGCAUCAUAAAUACUCAGGUGCCGAUCCUGUGGUUGCUCCGAGCUCGAGGUGUCCAGGUGUGCCAACAAUCAUCUGGGCUGCAUUUACAUGGAUCUGGUUCAAUCAUUCAAACUUCACGGUGGGUGUGAGAUCGGAUCGACUGCAGGGACGACACAUACCGGGAGGAUCGGGUCAUGUGGCAUUCAAUCACCUGCUCCAAAACCUAUCCACCAAUAAACCUCCAUCAAAAAAAGUUACGGCGAAGGCCCAGUAUUUGUUUUGCCAAAGAUUUCUUUUGUGCGUGAGGGGUGAGGCAUUGAACUGUUCAGAGCACCCACAGCAGCACAUAUCAGCACCUGUUGUUACAGGGGUUUACUUUUGCCAAGACGGUAGCAUUUGAAUUGACUUGAACCACUGCACUUAAACUUUAUGGACUCUGCAUUCACAGCAGCGGCAGCAGGGUUGUAACCCCGGUGCACUUUAACAUGUCUUAUUCAGAACCACAGUGGACUCUCUCUGCAGGUGUAAUCGGAGCGGUGAGGCUGCACUGUGGCACUGUUUUGAAUUCCGGCCGGUUCAGCUCACCUCCACUUUGCGGUGACCCGCGCUCCUGACGAGCCGCAGUGCUUCCAGACACCGGCCUGACGCGAUGAAUAGAUUUUUUUUUUUAAUGGACACCUCCAGCUUUCUUUACCCGAGGCAGCAACUGUGUACACACCGCCUUGUUUUCGCACUCUAACAAGCUGCCGAGCUGCACCGCCGAGAAAACGGCUGCUUAAGUGAGAACAAUUGAUAUUUGAGUUAGCGACGCUGAAUGAGGGAAGCAGGAGAGCGGCUGUGCUGUGAUCCUGAGCCAAAAGGAAAAGUGAUUUGUUCUUCUGCGGCAUUACUCAGUGUGUUUAUGCUAUUAGUUGUUUUUAAGGAGAUGAUUAAAAACUGUUAAAUGGGAAUAUUUAGCCAAAUAACACUGUUUUCUUCUGCUAGAGCAACUCAGGAUGACAUGGUUUAUUUCUAACCAUUCAAUCUUUAUAAAGCAACAUAUUCUCUGAAGUAGAGGCAAACAAGUGGGAAAGCUGUGUUUGAAAGUCUGUUUUGCAUUACUGUACAGUCAACCCGGUCAAUACUCUCAUGUUAAGUGUGUUUUUGAGCUGGAAUCUAAAUCAUAUGACUGUUCUUUGUUUAAAUACAUUAAUGAUGUUGGUUUUGAUAUGGAUUAAAAAAGAUUUAUAAUGGAUAAACUACUAGCUGCAUUUUUAUUCCAGCAUACUUUAUGUGAAAUAAAAUCACUGUGCCCUGA